rnacentral:rRNA from 1 species
UUAGAUGCCCGGGGCCGCACGCGCGCUACACUGAAGGACGCAGCGUGUGCUCUCCCGGUCCGGCUGGACCGGGUAACCCGCUGAACCUCCUUCGUGAUAGGGACAGGGGAUUGUGACUGUUCCCCUCGAACGAGGAAUCCCUAGUAGUCGCGGGUCAUCAGCCCGCGGCGACUAGGUCCCUGCCCUUUGUACACACCGCCCGUCGCUACUAUCGAUUGAACGAAGGAGUGAGGUCUUCGGACUGGCGUGCCCGACGGCCCAGCGUCGGAGGGUGCGACCGGAAAGAUGACCGAACUUGUCCGUUUAGAGAAAGUAAAAGUCGUAACAAGGUUUUC